AGUGAACGCUGGCGGUAGGCCUAACACAUGCAAGUCGAACGGCAGCACAGUAAGAGCUUGCUCUUACGGGUGGCGAGUGGCGGACGGGUGAGGAAUACAUCGGAAUCUACUUUUUCGUGGGGGAUAACGUAGGGAAACUUACGCUAAUACCGCAUACGACCUACGGGUGAAAGCAGGGGAUCUUCGGACCUUGCGCGAUUGAAUGAGCCGAUAUCGGAUUAGCUAGUUGGCGGGGUAAAGGCCCACCAAGGCGACGAUCCGUAGCUGGUCUGAGAGGAUGAUCAGCCACACUGGAACUGAGACACGGUCCAGACUCCUACGGGAGACAGCAGUGGGGAAUAUUGGACAAUGGGCGCAAGCCUGAUCCAGCCAUACCGCGUGGGUGAAGAAGGCCUUCGGGUUGUAAAGCCCUUUUGUUGGGAAAGAAAAGCAGCAGGUUAAUACCCCGCUGUUCUGACGGUACCCAAAGAAUAAGCACCGGCUAACUUCGUG
rnacentral:rRNA from 1 species